ACACAUGCAAGUCGAACGUGAAAGGGAGCAAUCCUGAGUAAAGUGGCGUACGGGUGAGUAACGCGUAGGUAAUCUACCUUAGAGUCUGGAAUAACCUGCCGAAAGGCGGGCUAAUACUGGAUAGAGCGAGGGACUCGUAAGUGAGUUCCUCGGGAAAGGGAGCCUGUAAGGGCCCUUGCUCUAAGAUGAGCCUGCGUCUCAUUAGCUAGUUGGUGAGGUAAUGGCUCACCAAGGCAGUGAUGAGUAGCUGGUCUGAGAGGAUGAUCAGCCACACUGGGACUGAGACACGGCCCAGACUCCUACGGGAGGCAGCAGUAGGGAAUCUUGCGCAAUGGGCGAAAGCCUGACGCAGCCAUGCCGCGUGAAUGAUGAAGGUCUUAGGAUUGUAAAAUUCUUUCACCGGGGAAGAUAAUGACGGUACCCGGAGAAGAAGCCCCGGCUAACUUCGUGCCAGCAGCCGCGGUAAUACGAAGGGGGCUAGCGUUGCUCGGAAUUACUGGGCGUAAAGGG
rnacentral:rRNA from 1 species